rnacentral:rRNA from 1 species
GUACACGCUGUGACUAGCAUAUCAAUAAGCGGAGGAAAAGAAACUAACAAGGAUCCCCCUAGUAACGGCGAGUGAAGCGGGAAGAGCUCAAAUUUGAAAUCUUAAAGGGCUUCCCUUUACGAAUUGUAGUUUAAAGAAGUGUUUUCUGUUGAGGUUUUGGUAAAAGUUCUUUGGAAUAGGACAUCGUAGAGGGUGAGAAUCCCGUAUUUGACCUUUACUUUCAACUUUGUGAUACACUUUCAAGGAGUCGGAUUGUUUGGGAAUGCGGUCCAAAAUGGGUGGUAAAUUUCAUCUAAAGCUAAAUAUUGGCGAGAGACCGAUAGCGAACAAGUACCGUGAGGGAAAGAUGAAAAGAACUUUGAAAAGAGAGUUAAACAGUACGUGAAAUUGUCAAAAGGGAAGCGUUUGACACCAGUGUUGUUUUUCUGAAAAUCAAUUAAAGAACUGUUUAUGCUAAGCUGUUUAGACUUUAUCAGCUAACUGUUUAGUUUUGAGCUUUUCUUUAAUGCACUUUUCAGUUAACAAGUCAACAUCAAUUUCUUUUGCUGUAAAAAAGCUUGAGGAAGGUGGCUUGAGAUUCGUCUUAAGUGUUUAUAGCCUCUUGCCUAUGCAGUCGGAGAGAUUGAGGUCUGCAGCGUAGAUCCUUCGGGGCUAAAUGCAUUUGUGCUAAGUUAUAGCAUUUUAUAGACAACUUGUUGACUAUGAUUUGUCUUGUAGCUUACUCGCCUAUGUUAUUUUACCUACGCUUAGGAUGUUGACGCGCGUGUGUGCGUG